rnacentral:rRNA from 1 species
GACGAACGCUGGCGGCGUGCUUAACACAUGCAAGUCGAACGGAAAGGCCCUGCUUGCAGGGUGCUCGAGUGGCGAACGGGUGAGUAACACGUGGGUGUUCUGCCCCUUACUUUGGGAUAAGCCUGGGAAACUGGGUCUAAUACUGGAUAGGACCAUGCUGUAGGUGGUGUGGUGGAAAGAUUAGUUUCGGUAAGGGAUGAGCUCGCGGCCUAUCAGCUUGUUGGUGGGGUAAUGGCCUACCAAGGCGUCGACGGGUAGCCGGCCUGAGAGGGUGGACGGCCACAUUGGGACUGAGAUACGGCCCAGACUCCUACGGGAGGCAGCAGUGGGGAAUAUUGCACAAUGGGCGCAAGCCUGAUGCAGCGACGCCGCGUGGGGGAUGACGGCCUUCGGGUUGUAAACUCCUUUCAGCCAUGACGAAGCCCUUGUGGUGACGGUAGUGGUAGAAGAAGCACCGGCUAACUACGUG